rnacentral:rRNA from 1 species
UACGGAGGGGGCAAGCGUUGUUCGGAAUUAUUGGGCGUAAAGGGCGCGUAGGCGGUCCUGCAAGUCGGGGGUGAAAGCCCGGGGCUCAACCUCGGAACUGCCUUCGAUACUGCAGGUCUCGAGUCCGGGAGAGGUGAGUGGAAUUCCUAGUGUAGAGGUGAAAUUCGUAGAUAUUAGGAGGAACACCAGUGGCGAAGGCGGCUCACUGGCCCGGUACUGACGCUGAGGCGCGAAAGCGUGGGGAGCAAACAGG